AGGGCACCACCAGGAGUGGAGCCUGCGGCUUAAUUUGACUCAACACGGGGAAACUUACCCGGCCUGGACACUGGAAGGAUUGACAGAUUGAGAGCUCUUUCUUGAUUCAGUGGGUGGUGGUGCAUGGCCGUUCUUAGUUGGUGGAGCGAUUUGUCUGGUUAAUUCCGAUAACGAACGAGACUCUAGCCUAUUAAAUAGGCUCUCGGCUUUUAAACGCCGGGAGGACUUCUUAGAGGGACAGGUGGCGGUUCAGCCGCACGAAAGAGAGCAAUAACAGGUCUGUGAUGCCCUUUGUUGUCCGGGGCCGCACGCGCGCUACGCUGAAGAGAUCAGCGUGCUUUACGUUCCUGCUCCGACCGGAGUGGGGAACCCAGUGAACCUUCUUCGUGAUUGGGAUAGAAGAUUGUAAUUAUUCUUCUUGAACGAGGAAUUCCCAGUAAAUGCGAGUCAUAAGCUCGCGUUGAUUACGUCCCUGCCCUUUGUACACACCGCCCGUCGCUACUACCGAUUGAACGAUUU
rnacentral:rRNA from 1 species